rnacentral:lncRNA from 1 species
GUUGUGCAUGGAGAGGCAGAACAUGAUGAAGCAUUUUUCUCCCAUUGAAAGAUCCAGUCAGGCUCCAGUUUGCAGGGGGCAGAGAGGCUGGCUUGCAGUUGGUGCUGGGAGGAUGGAGGCGCCAGCCAUGGACAGAAGACUGCAAGAGCCCAGAGCGGACCUGGACCGGGGAUUCGGUCACACACACUGGAUGCCUACCACAGCAUGGUGUGCCAAGUGGUGCCAUGUUCGCACUCGGGAUUCGAACCAGCGAACCCCAGGCCGCUGAGAAACAGAACGUGCGAACUUAACCGCUGUGCCACCGGGCCGGCCCCAACCAUGAAAUUCUUGAUUGUGCCAUAUUCUCUUGCACCCCAAGCUUGUCUGAAAUCCUUUCCCCCACCUCAGUAUUCACUCCCCCCUCCCCUUCACCUAACUCCUCGUUAUUUUCAGCUAUUCCACGUUACCUCCUCCUUCAGGGAGCUUUCUCUAACCCGCAAGGUUUUGAUAGCUGCUUCGUUUGGGCUCCCACAGUCUCCUGCCUUUCCCUGAUUCUAGCCCUAACACUGUAUUCUAAAGGGCAAUUUAUUUGUCUCCUAACUGGACUUGAGCUCCACAAGGGCAAGAGCCAUCUCUUAUUCAACAUGGUUUGUUGUUUGUUGAAUGAAUAAAAGGCAAUUCGUG